rnacentral:rRNA from 1 species
AUUGAACGCUGGCGGCAUGCCUUACACAUGCAAGUCGAACGGCAGCGGGGGAGAAGCUUGCUUUUCCUGCCGGCGAGUGGCGAACGGGUGAGUAAUACAUCGGAACGUGCCCUGUAGUGGGGGAUAACUAGUCGAAAGAUUAGCUAAUACCGCAUACGACCUGAGGGUGAAAGUGGGGGACCGCAAGGCCUCAUGCUAUAGGAGCGGCCGAUGUCUGAUUAGCUAGUUGGUGGGGUAAAGGCCUACCAAGGCGACGAUCAGUAGCUGGUCUGAGAGGACGAUCAGCCACACUGGGACUGAGACACGGCCCAGACUACUACGGGAGGCAGCAGUGGGGAAUUUUGGACAAUGGGCGAAAGCCUGAUCCAGCAAUGCCGCGUGUGUGAAGAAGGCCUUCGGAUCGUAAACCUCUUUCGAUGGGGAAGAAAACCUGCUCUUAACGGAGCAGACUGACGGUACCCAGAGAAGAAGCCACGGCCAACUCUGUGCCAGCCGCCGCCGUAACAC